UGGGGGAUAUUGCUCAAUGGGCGAAAGCCUGAUGCAGCGACGCCGCGUGGGGGAUGAAGGCUUUCGGGUUGUAAACCUCUUUCGCUAUCGAACAAGGCCCGCUUAGGGUGGGUUGAGGGUAGGUGGAGAAGAAGCGCCGGCUAACUACGUGCCAGCAGCCGCGGUAAUACGUAGGGCGCGAGCGUUGUCCGGAAUUAUUGGGCGUAAAGGGCUUGUAGGCGGCUUGUUGCGCCUUCUGUGAAAACGCGGGGCUUAACUUCGCGCGUGCAGUGGGUACGGGCAGGCUUGAGUGUGGUAGGGGUGACUGGAAUUCCAGGUGUAGCGGUGGAAUGCGCAGAUAUCUGGAGGAACACCGAUGGCGAAGGCAGGUCACUGGGCCAUUACUGACGCUGAGGAGCGAAAGCAUGGGUAGCGAACAGG
rnacentral:rRNA from 1 species